GAGUACUGUAGAGGGGGGUAGAAUUUCAGGUGUAGCGGUGAAAUGCGUAGAGAUCUGAAGGAAUACCGGUGGCGAAGGCGGCCCCCUGGACAGAUACUGACACUCAGAUGCGAAAGCGUGGGGAGCAAACAGGAUUAGAUACCCUGGUAGUCCACGCCGUAAACGAUGUCUACUUGGAGGUUGUGGCCUUGAGCCGUGGCUUUCGGAGCUAACGCGUUAAGUAGACCGCCUGGGGAGUACGGUCGCAAGAUUAAAACUCAAAUGAAUUGACGGGGGCCCGCACAAGCGGUGGAGCAUGUGGUUUAAUUCGAUGCAACGCGAAGAACCUUACCUACUCUUGACAUCCAGAGAACUUUCCAGAGAUGGAUUGGUGCCUUCGGGAACUCUGAGACAGGUGCUGCAUGGCUGUCGUCAGCUCGUGUUGUGAAAUGUUGGGUUAAGUCCCGCAACGAGCGCAACCCUUAUCCUUGUUUGCCAGCGAGUAAUGUCGGGAACUCCAGGGAGACUGCC
rnacentral:rRNA from 1 species